UAAUACGGAGGGGGCAAGCGUUGUUCGGAAUUAUUGGGCGUAAAGCGUGUGUAGGCGGCCGAGUAAGUCAGGCGUGCAAGCCCGUGGCUCAACCACGGAAUUGCGUUUGAAACUACUCGGCUUGAGUACAGGAGAGGAAAGCGGAACUCCCAGUGUAGCGGUGAAAUGCAUUGAUAUUGGGAAGAACAUCUGUGGCGAAGGCGGCUUUCUGGUCUGUUACUGACGCUGAGAUACGAAAGCCAGGGGAGCGAACGGGAUUAGAUACCCCGGUAGUCCUGGCUGUAAACGAUGGGCACUAGGUGCAGGGGGUAUCGAUCCCCUCUGUGCCGUAGCUAACGCAUUAAGUGCCCCGCCUGGGGAGUACGGUCGCAAGGCUG
rnacentral:rRNA from 1 species